ACUUGUGCAUUUUUGGUCUGACAAGAAGGCAAUUUUCUUUUUGUUUCUUUUCAUCUUCCUUGCUUUUGCUGGUCUCUCCUUGGCCUUCCCAACUCUGUGUUUUUUUGUUCUGACACAAUAACAUAACCUCAACCCUCUUUUAUUUUAGAGUAGGUCCUGUAAGCCAUUUCUUCUUUCUUUUCCUUAUGUGCAACACGAAUUGGGUUUCUUUGCCUAACACAACAUGCACAAGCCGAAGAGCUAUUUGUGUAUUUUGUUGAGUUUGGCAGUACCAACUUCAUAGCUGAAGCUUCUCCCAUUUUUUAAUCUCAAAGAAGGCUUUCUUUGUUCUUGGCUUAUGUUGCUUCUGGGUUCUUCAACAGCCCCAACACAGGAGGCUUCUUGACUCACAUCAUUUGAGAGGGCCAUCAUACUGCCCAUUGAGGUGCUGGUUUUGCUUUGUCUUAGUUGCUUCAUGUUUUGCCAACAACAAAGUGAGAACCUUUUGCAAUUUGCUGCAGAGGAGUGCUGGCUUAGUAAUUUUCGUGAGCUGUCUGACUUGGGAUUUUUCUUUGUUGGUUAAUUUUGAAGCACAGAAAGUGGGUGUGAAUCAUCAGCUUUUCACGUUUUGCUACCUGUUCUUUCUCCAAUCUGCAGAUUUGGAAUUUUGCUCUGCUGAAGGUGGGUUGAGCAUGUAACAAAGCAUCUGAACUGUUGAUGUUUUCUGUUUUUGGUACUCAAGAACACUCACAAGGUCUUCUCUGAGUACCACAAUGUGCCUAUGGACACUCACAAGGUGUUCACAGCACUUGUACAGUGGGAUUCUUGUAGAAGCCCAUCUGUAAUUCACAAUAGAGAGGUCCUUGUGAGAGCUCUCUUUGUGUAAGUAGCAUAAUUAUUGCCAAUUUGGGAGGAUUUGUUCACAUUUUUUCCCUGCUGAGGUCUCUGUUGAUAUGAUAAAUUUCUUGAUAUCAAACAUGGAGGAAGUUCAGGCUUCUGUACAAUGGCCUCACAUACAUAUUUUUUUACCUGCAAGUCAGUUAUUCAUAAAGGAUACUUAAAUGAAUUUCUUUAUACC